rnacentral:rRNA from 1 species
GGCUCAGGAUGAACGCUGGCGGCGUGCUUAACACAUGCAUGUCGAACGAGCCUUCGGGCUAGUGGCGGACGGGUGAGUAACGCGUGGGAAUCUGCCCUCAGGAGGGGGAUAACGGCCGGAAACGGCCGCUAAUACCCCAUAUGCCGAGAGGUGAAACGAAUUUCGCCUGGGGAUGAGCCCGCGUCUGAUUAGCUAGUUGGUGAGGUAAUGGCCCACCAAGGCUUCGAUCAGUAGCUGGUCUGAGAGGAUGAUCAGCCACACUGGGACUGAGACACGGCCCAGACUCCUACGGGAGGCAGCAGUGGGGAAUUUUCCGCAAUGGGCGCAAGCCUGACGGAGCAACGCCGCGUGAGGGACGAAGGCCUCUGGGCUGUAAACCUCUUUUCUCAAGGAAGAAGACAUGACGGUACUUGAGGAAUAAGCCACGGCUAAUUCCGUGCCAGCAGCCGCGGUAAUACGGGAGUGGCAAGCGUUAUCCGGAAUUAUUGGGCGUAAAGCGUCCGCAGGCGGCCUUGAAAGUCUGUUGUUAAAGCGUGGAGCUCAACUCCAUUUAAGCAAUGGAAACUACAAGGCUAGAGUGUGGUAGGGGCAGAGGGAAUUCCCGGUGUAGCGGUGAAAUGCGUAGAUAUCGGGAAGAACACCAGUGGCGAAGGCGCUCUGCUGGGCCAUAACUGACGCUCAUGGACGAAAGCCAGGGGAGCGAAAGGGAUUAGAUACCCCUGUAGUCCUGGCCGUAAACGAUGAACACUAGGUGUCGGAAGAAUUAACCCUUUCGGUGUCGUAGCCAACGCGUUAAGUGUUCCGCCUGGGGAGUACGCACGCAAGUGUGAAACUCAAAGGAAUUGACGGGGGCCCGCACAAGCGGUGGAGUAUGUGGUUUAAUUCGAUGCAACGCGAAGAACCUUACCAGGGUUUGACAUCCUGCGAAUCCCUUGGAAACGGGGGAGUGCCUUCGGGAACGCAGUGACAGGUGGUGCAUGGCUGUCGUCAGCUCGUGUCGUGAGAUGUUGGGUUAAGUCCCGCAACGAGCGCAACCCACGUCUUUAGUUGCCAGCAUUCAGUUGGGCACUCUAGAGAGACCGCCGGUGAUAAACCGGAGGAAGGUGUGGAUGACGUCAAGUCAUCAUGCCCCUUACAUCCUGGGCUACACACGUACUACAAUGCUACGGAUAAAGGGCAGCAAACUCGCGAGAGCUAGCAAAUCCCAUAAACCGUGGCUCAGUUCAGAUCGUAGGCUGCAACUCGCCUACGUGAAGGAGGAAUCGCUAGUAAUCGCAGGUCAGCAUACUGCGGUGAAUACGUUCCCGGGCCUUGUACACACCGCCCGUCACACCAUGGAAGUUGGCCAUGCCCGAAGUCGUUACUCCAACCCGUAAGGGAGGAGGACGCCGAAGGUGGGGCUGAUGACUGGGGUGAAGUCGUAACAAGGUA